GGUAAGCGGAUCAGUUACCGCUCGUGAAAUUGUCAAUAAUUACAUUAUUCUAUAGAGAUAAAAACUUUUUAAAUAGUCAGUGUAGUUUUAAAUUUCAAUUUUCUUUUCGUUAGACAUAAAAGUUAAAUAAAUAUUGUUUACCGAAUACUUAGAUGUCAAUAUCUAAUUUUGGUAACUCAAGAUUUUGCCAAGCCGCCAUCUUGAAAAUUUUUUACUUUCGUCUUUCUAACACCUUUAAUGGAUGACUUCACAUUCGAUGAACAUUUCACAUUCAACGAGUGAUGUACGAAAGGAAGACGGAUUUAUACCGGAGAGGAAUUAUCACAUAUUGAAAUGCUGAUCGAUAGACGUCUGUCUAGUGGAGGACGACUAGUUUCUCCAAUAAUAUGAGAGCGGUAACCUCAAGUCUUUGACUACAGGACGAUUGGCAAAAGUCAUCAUCAUUUUACGUCCUGGCUAGUUGUGAUGUGGAAUUUUGUAUCUCAACUCAAGUAUAUGUCAGUGCUCCAGAAGAUGGAAAAUUUGUCUGUUUCCAAGAACUCGAUGUCUUAACAUGGAAAAUUGGAAAGUGUAUUCAUCGAGAAUCUUCAAUAGUGGUUCAUUGUCAGGGUGGCGAGCUACCGCGAAUAGAUAGUAGGAAAUUCUUAUGAUCAGGGAAGGACAAUAUUUUUGUCUGAAGUUUGCCAUCAAAUUUCAAAUAUUUAAUCGAAUUUUUUUCCUUAUAAAAUCUUUUGAAUUUAAUUUAUAAAAAUGUUUCAUAAAAUAAUUAUUUAUAAAAUCAUUUUAAUUCAGAUUUCAAUAGAAUUUUUUUUAAACAAUAGAAGUGAAACCCAAGUUUAAUAUAAAGAAUUAGAAUUAAUUUUCAAUUUGCUUUUAUACAUAAAUUACAUUUGCUUUUAUGAUAAAUAAAUUUUGUUUUUGGCUAAGAAAUUUUGUUUUUGGUUAGGGAAAAGUUAGAGAAUUUUCGAAAUAAUUUUCACUCGCCACCUUGAAUAUUCUUCUAGAGGAAGCGCGAUGGCAUAGCAUCCAUCGACCAACGUGGGAUCGCCGUUCGAUGAGUCAAAUGCACAAUUAAUUUAUUUUACUUGUUACGACUGAUGAGUCAAAUGGCAAUUUUCUGAUUUUACUCCUUCCCUGUUUAAGUUACUUUUUGAGAUUAUUUAUUUUUCUAAAUACAAUCGGUUAGUACAUCAAUUAAUAUAUGGAUUUAGUUUUUUCUAUAAUUUUUCCGUUUUGCAAAAUUUUGGAAUAGUAAGUAAAUAUUUUCUUACUUUCUUGAAACUAGGUACUAUUCAUGGUAAAUAUUUAAAAUUUAUAGAUAUUAUAUUUUCCGAAAACAGGGAAGGAAAGCAACAUAGUGACAACAGAAUGUUCUUUUACUGUUUUAAUAUUUAUGCCAUUUAUCAUUUGUUGUGUUUAACUGUUUUCUUUUCAGCUUUUUGUUCUAAGGUGCUCCCAAAAACGAUUUCUACCUUGGCGAUAUUUGAGAGAAUCGAACAUUGAUUUUGCGGGUGUAGGAAAAAAUAGGUUAAUUGAGGUUUAGGUAGGAAUGGCUUUUUCUUCGUUGCGUGAAAUAAUUUUGUUAGAAAUAUUGUUAUAGGUAGGGAAAAUGUUUUUUUGGCGUGCGAGUAUACGAACGCAUGUGCACACAUGCGUGCCAGCAUCUCACAGUAACCGAAGUACCAGUUACAUUUUUUUAUUAUUAUUAUAAUUAUUACUAUUUUACUUAUUAUUAUUAUUAUUUUUAUUAAUAUUAUUAUUCUCUUUUUUUAUUAUUCAUUUUUUGUCACUAUGUUGUUUUAAAUGUUAUUUAAUAAUUUAUUAAUUAUGAAUUGUAUUUUCCUUUUUUUUAUCUAUUACUUUCAGAUGACUUAUAGCAUAAUGCACUAGGUACGAUCAAUUAUUAUUAAUAUCUAUUCAAUUUUAUUAAAAAAAUUUUUUUGUAUCAGAAAUGUGCAAAAUUUUAUAUUUUAUGUGUACGUCCGCAUGAAAAGGGAUCACUUUGUCACUA